AACCUCCAAAUCGAAACUUCAUCGGCGGUGAGAAAACGGAGAUACAAUCAAUUCUAUGGAUUCUCCAUUUUCGCCGGCAAUUUAUCUCUUCAUCAUCAUCUCCUUCUCCUUCUCCUUUCUUUUAGUUUCUUCAUCUCCGAAUUCAUCCCUAGGGCUCGACGCAAUCUAUAAUGGCGAAGCGGAACAAAGAGAUGAAAGCGGAAUCAUAGGGCGUAGACAUCUGAUGAGCUUUAAGGAGACGCCUAUUGGUACAAAUAUCACUUAUGAUUGUUCUCCUUCUGGUCCUUGUGUUCCUUGCUCGUACUCCGAAAAGAAAGAUGAAAAGUAUAGGUGCAGUGAAACUGGAUAUCGUAUCCCUUUCAACUGUAUAGAGAUUAAAGCUAGUACAAAGGAAGUGAAAAACAAGAAAGGAAAGAAGAAGCGAUCUGCUUUGGAGGACACAUAUACUGCAGUAAGGCCACAUGCCAUGAAGCACAAUGAACAAGCUCUUACCUCCUCGGUAAGACAAAGAAAUUUGCUGGACGAUUCAUCCUCGUCAAAGAGUGGAAUACAUACGUAUAUAACUUAUAGGAGCUGUGUUCUUUCAAUAAAUGAGGAGAAGCUGUCAGUACUUGGGUUUGAGGUGAUUAUGCUGGGUUUACUGAUUGUCAGUGGUUCAACCAUAUACUUCAGAAAACGGCGAGCAGGCGCUGUAUCUGGUGCUGGGCCUGUCAGACUUCCAACUAGUUCUCGAUUCUAACUAAAAAUCUGUACGUUUGCAGCUUAGGAUUCUUUUUUAAUCUUCUUACUUUCUUGAUUCAAGGUUGCAAUCCUAGUAGAUUUGUUGUUUAACAUGUUUGAAUGCUUGUAAAAUGUUGUA
rnacentral:misc_RNA from 1 species